rnacentral:rRNA from 1 species
GACGAACGCUGGCGGCGUGCUUAACACAUGCAAGUCGAACGGAAAGGCCCUGCUUUUGUGGGGUGCUCGAGUGGCGAACGGGUGAGUAACACGUGAGUAACCUGCCCUUGACUUUGGGAUAACUUCAGGAAACUGGGGCUAAUACCGGAUAGGAGCUCCUGCUGCAUGGUGGGGGUUGGAAAGUUUCGGCGGUUGGGGAUGGACUCGCGGCUUAUCAGCUUGUUGGUGGGGUAGUGGCUUACCAAGGCUUUGACGGGUCGCCGGCCUGAGAGGGUGACCGGCCACAUUGGGACUGAGAGACGGCCCAGACUCCUACGGGAGGCAGCAGGGGGGAAUAUUGCACAAUGGGCGGAAGCCUGAUGCAGCAACGCCGCGGGCGGGAUGACGGCCUUCGGGUUGUAAACCGCUUUCGCCUGUGACGAAGCGUGAGUGACGGUAAUGGGUAAAGAAGCACCGGCUAACUACGUG